GCCCUCCUUAUAUCUGAAUUUCUUCACUGAAAGUUGUCUUUUCAUCCUCUCAUCUCCCCCUGCUCUGCCGUACUCUUCAUGUCUCUCUGCAUCUCUUUGAGUUAUUGCAGACUGAACUAGAGAUAUACGCAACCUAUCUCUCUUUUCCUGCAGUGCACCAAUUAUGUAACCGUUCAGAGGUUGUCCCACGCAGGCACACAGAGAUGCUGUCACGUCUCCAAAUGAUCACCGUCUUGUAACGAUACCUCAAGAGCACUGUUAGAGACGCAUCCCACCCAGAACAUCAAAUCAGUUAACAGGAGCUCAGCUGCACGUGGUUCCAUGUGAUAAUCAGAAUCUGGGUCCAUUUUAGGGCGAUUCGUCACUUCAGUCAUAACACAUCAUCACCCUUUGGUCACAAAGUGCAGGUGGAGAGGCAAGCAAUGCAUGGACCAGAGAGGCCGCAGAGGGCGGGAUGCAACAGAUGGACACACUCCGCAGGGGUUCUGCUGGACACCAUACAUGAGACUGAGCAGCAUAAUGACUUCCACUCUGCGGUCUG
ensembl:lncRNA